UUACUAGUAGAAGUAAUAGCAGUAGUAGUAUUACUGGUAGAAGUAAUAGCAGUAGUAGUAUUACUAGUAGAAGUAAUAGCAGUAGUAGUAUUACUGGUAGAAGUAAUAGCAGUAGUAUAUUUACUAGUAGAAGUAAUAGCAGUAGUAUUAUUACUAGUAGAAGUAAUAGCAGUAGUAUUAUUACUAGUAGAAGUAAUAGCAGUAGUAGUAUUACUAGUAGAAGUAAUAGCAGUUGUAGUAUUACUAGUAGAAGUAAUAGCAGUAGUAGUAUUACUAGUAGAAGUAAUAGCAGUAGUAUUACUAGUAGAAGUAAUAGCAGUAGUAGUAUUACUAGUAGAAGUAAUAGCAGUAGUAGUAUUACUGGUAGAAGUAAUAGCAGUAGUAGUAUUACUAGUAGAAGUAAUAGCAGUAGUAGUAUUACUAGUAGAAGUAAUAGCAGUAGUAGUAUUACUGGUAGAAGUAAUAGCAGUAGUAGUAUUACUGGUAGAAGUAAUAGCAGUAGUAGUAUUACUAGUAGAAGUAAUAGCAGUAGUAGUAUUACUGGUAGAAGUAAUAGCAGUAUAUUUACUACUAGUAGAAGUAAUAGCAGUAGUAUUAUUACUAGUAG
ensembl:lncRNA